rnacentral:tRNA from 1 species
AGCCUCGUAGCUCAGUUGGCUAGAGCGUUGGCUGUAUCAAAGCCUUCCCCUUGCUGGCGUGGGUUCGAAUCCCAUCGAGGCCG